GCAUAUAAUGAUACAGCCCAAAACUAGUCUACUAAUGUGUGUGCCAGAACCUUGUGUCACAAGCUACGGGAACUAGUAGAAUAUACACAAAAUAACACUAUAUUAUCCUACUGUCAGAAUCGGGAUAGACAGAAAACAAAUUACAAAUUAAAGAAGACUAUUCUUCGGCUGCAGAUCGUCACGAAGGGGAAGCAACUCACCAUAGAAGUCCCAGAUGGCCCACUGAUGCGCACCCAAGUGAUAAC
rnacentral:lncRNA from 1 species